GCCCCGGUGUGUGAUGUUCCCCUUCCUGUGUCCAUGUGUUCUCAUUGUUCAAUUCCCAUCUAUGAGUGAGAACAUGCGGUGGUUGUUUUUCUGUCCUUGCGAUAGUUUGCUGAGAAUGAUGGUUUCCAAUUUCAUCCAUGUCCCUACAAAGGACAUGAACUCAUCAUUUUUUAUGGCUGCAUAGUAUUCCAUGGUGUAUGUGUGCCACAUUUCCUUAAUCCAGUCUAUCAUUGUUGGACAUUUGGGUUGGUUCCAAGUCUUUGCUAUUGUAAAUAAUGCCACAAUAAACAUACGCGUGCAUGUGUCUUUAUAGCAGCAUGAUUUAUAGUCCUUUGGGUAUAUACCCAGUAAUGGGAUGGCUGGGUCAAAUGGUAUUUCUAGUUCUAGAUCCUUGAGGAAUCGCCACACUGACUUCCACAAUGGUUGAACUAGUUUACAGUCCCACCAACAGUGUCAAAGUGUUCCUAUUUCUCCACAUCCUCUCCAGCACCUGUUGUUUCCUGACUUUUUAAUGAUUGCCAUUCUAACUGGCGUGAGAUGGUAUCUCACUGUGGUUUUGAUUUGCAUUUCUCUGAUGGCCAGUGAUGGUGAGCAUUUUUUCAUGUGUGUUUUGGCUGCAUAAAUGUCUUCUUUUGAGAAGUGUCUGUUCAUGUCCUUCGCCCACUUUUUGAUGGGGUUGUUUGUUUUUUUCUUGUAAAUUUGUUUGAGUUCAUCGUAGAUUCUGGAUAUUAGCCCUUUGUCAGAUGAGUAGGUUGUGAAAAUUUUCUCCCAUUCUGUAGGUUGCCU
rnacentral:lncRNA from 1 species